GGUAGUGUUUGGCAAGGAAGCUUCUAGGGGAGACAUAAAAGAUACUGGAGGAGAAUUUUCUCAUAAACAGCCUGCUGAAACUGGAUGUUAUUUUGUCUGGCAACUGAAAAAGGAUGUAUAUUAAUAAUAUUGAGCUGCUGCACAAAUGGCAGGGUAAGUGAUUCCCAAGAACAAUUCCACCACUUCCAGAUUUAAAGUGCACGCAGCUGAAGCCACC
rnacentral:misc_RNA from 1 species